UCCUGAAAAAUUAGUCCAUUUGGGAUUUAUGAAAUACUGGAUUUUAUGAAUGUACUCGUAGUCAGUUCUCGCCCGGAACUGAUUAUUCCUGGGAUGCUAACCAUUAGGGAAAGGCUAAUAGGGGAAAUCAAAUUUGCGCGACUAAAGAAAAUUCGAUCGUGAAUGGAUUUCGACCAUUAAAUCGCGGAAGUGAUAUUUUGAGCCAUUGUUGGCCGAUCCAAGGAUAGUUAGGGAUCGGUUCGCCACUGUUAUAGUAGUGAAUCGCGGGUGAUUCCGCUGGACCACGAAACGACUUGACGAAUAAUCCUGAACCUAUACCGAACGAUCGUACCCCUCGGAUCAAGUGAUUGAUCUUCGCGAUUUUAAUGACAACCGAGGUCGUCACGUACCGAACGAACUUGCACGUGACUCGAUUCAGUAUCAGUCAUGAGUCGAUUCUGCGAAUUUCCCCAGCAAGCCGCCCGUUAGCUUGAAAAACGCUCGAAUUGCGUUUAAUAAAAUUUAAUUAUUGAAUUUAGCCCAAAUUGGACAUCGGAAAAUUAGGAAGUCACGACGGAACGUUAGGACGACGUUGCAGGGGACACGUGCGAAUUUUGGGUGCGCUCAAAUCCUUCAGAAAAAUUCGAUUUGGGCAAGAAAUUGAGAAAGUGACCAAAAUACCCCUAAGGAUUAUUAAAGGGCAUGUUUUAUGGGCAAGGGGCAUUUUGGUCAUUUUACCCCCAAAUUUGAAAAAGACAUUUUUACCCUUGGACUUUUUGAGAAAUUACAACAUUGCCCUUGGAUAUUUUGGAUGAGAUUCGAUCUGGGCCGUCGAUUUCAGGAUAAGAUCGAAUCUGGACCGUCGGAUAAAAAAGAUUAGAGAAAGGGUAUUUUGGUAAAUUACCACUUUGGUCCAAAUUUGACUAUUUAAGUCAAAAUUUUUCUCUCUCCUCACUCAUUCCCCUCCCCCAUGGCAGCACACCCCCCCAAACCGUGAACUCUCUCUCUCUUUGGACCGAUCAUCGUCCAAGUCGAUCGUCGGACCGCCGCCGCGCCGUCGCCGCUUGCUUUCGCCACCACAAAGCCGCGCCGCCGUCCCCGCCGUUCGCCGCCGCGCUACGUUCUAGCCACUUUAGUCUAGAACCAAAUAACCCGCCUGAACAAGGAAUCAGUCACCACCGCCACCGUCAGAAUGUUUUGGUACAGUCAUGCACACCAAGGAUAAUUUCGUGGAGUACACCCUGAAUGGAUGCCAUACCAAGGAUGCAAGGACUAGUGAGGAGGCGAUGAGCUAGUGUUCGUGUAGUACCGCUUUUGGUAGAUAAGGAAUUUGCCUCUUUUUGAUGUAUGGUUUUUAAGGUAAUCGCAGUGGAUGUGCAUGUAAAAUUUAUG